AACGCCGUACCGGGUGGUGCGGGAACGUUCGGAACGGACGCUAAUACCGCAUACGUCCUACGGGAGAAAGCAGGGGACCUUCGGGCCUUGCGCUAUCAGAUGAGCCUAGGUCGGAUUAGCUAGUUGGUGAGGUAAUGGCUCACCAAGGCUACGAUCCGUAACUGGUCUGAGAGGAUGAUCAGUCACACUGGAACUGAGACACGGUCCAGACUCCUACGGGAGGCAGCAGUGGGGAAUAUUGGACAAUGGGCGAAAGCCUGAUCCAGCCAUGCCGCGUGUGUGAAGAAGGUCUUCGGAUUGUAAAGCACUUUAAGUUGGGAGGAAGGGCAUUAACCUAAUACGUUAGUGUUUUGACGUUACCGACAGAAUAAGCACCGGCUAACUCUGUGCCAGCAGCCGCGGUAAUACAGAGGGUGCAAGCGUUAAUCGGAAUUACUGGGCGUAAAGCGCGCGUAGGUGGUUUGUUAAGUUGAAUGUGAAAUCCCCGGGCUCAACCUGGGAACUGCAUCCAAAACUGGCAAGCUAGAGUAUGGUAGAGGGUAGUGGAAUUUCCUGUGUAGCGGUGAAAUGCGUAGAUAUAGGAAGGAACACCAGUGGCGAAGGCGACUACCUGGACUGAUACUGACACUGAGGUGCGAAAGCGUGGGGAGCAAACAGGAUUAGAUACCCUGGUAGUCCACGCCGUAAACGAUGUCAACUAGCCGUUGGGAGUCUUGAACUCUUAGUGGCGCAGCUAACGCAUUAAGUUGACCGCCUGGGGAGUACGGCCGCAAGGUUAAAACUCAAAUGAAUUGACGGGGGCCCGCACAAGCGGUGGAAGCAUGGUGGUUUAAUUCGAAGCAACGGCGAAGAACCCUUACCAGGGCCUUGACAAUCCAAUGAACUUUUCUAAGAAGAUAAGAAUUGGGUGCCUUCCGGAACAUUGGAGAAAAAAGGGUGCCUGCAUUGCUGUUCGUCAGCUCUCGGUGUCCGUGAGAAAUGUUUGGGGAUAGGUCCGAUAACCGAGGCGGCCAACCCUUGUUCCUUUAGUUUACCAGCACGUAAUAUGGGUGGGCCACCUUCUAAGGAGAACUUGGCCGGUUGACCAACCUGAGGAUGGGUGGGGAGAUAGACUCCAGGUCAUCAUAUGGCCUAACCGCUGGCUACACACACCAGGUCUCAAUGUCGUACACAGGGUUGCCAAGCCCUCAAGGUGA
rnacentral:rRNA from 1 species